GUGGGUGAUCUCAGCUAAACUGGCUUCCUGGCUUUUGACUUGUUCUGUAAGCUCAUUCAACUGACUCUGAAUGACUGGCAGCAGCUGGUCGUGGUUAGGGUCCCCCAACAUCGCCUUCAAGUCUUCAAGGGCAGCGCUCACGUCUUCAAGGGUCAGUGCUGUAUGAUUCGAGGACGGGUACUCUGCGAUCGCGGAUGAACCACCGGCAAUGCAUCCGGCCACGUAGUGCAUUUGCAGGUCGCUGUGCUGGACUCCCUCACCGCAUCGCAAACAUUCCACGAUGUGAAAUGCGCACGCGUUCUCGUAGUGCUCCAGCAUACGGUCCAUGGUUCCCGUGUACUCGCAGCCGUGCGCUUCGUUCCAGCAAUGC